rnacentral:lncRNA from 1 species
AAGUACAUUUUUAAGCAUAAUGCAUUACUCAAAUUGUAGUGACAAUUUAGACAAAGAAAAGGUAUUUACAAAGUGUCAUGUGUACACGUAUGAAUCAAUAUGUAGUCAUCCGCAAGUAUCUACAACAUAGUAGUUUACAAAAUCAUCCAUGAAAUGGUAUUUUACAACCUAGAUUGAUAAAAAUAUAUCACUCAACAAUUUAGAAAACAGUGCAAUCCAGUUCGAACAAACAAAACACUUAAACUAUUGAAGUUCUUGUCGUCGGCCCUCCUGAUGGAAACCUUGAUGGAAACUAUCACGUCAUCCAAAUUGUGAUGGAAACCUUGAUGGAAACUAUCACGUCAUCCAAAUUGUGAUGGCAGCACCAAGUAGCCGAGUACACAAUCAUACCUAGCAUAUUUACAAAACAAUUAGAUAUUUGUAGGUAUGAAUAGAUAGUAGAAACAAGAGAACUGCAACAAAUGUAAACAUGAAAAUCUAUUAUAUAAUUAUAAAACGAUACAAAACAAAUGGCAUAGAUGUAACAAUAAAAGAGCUAAAAAGAAUGGAUGUGAUCAAACAAAGUUUAUCAAACGAAGCCUAUGACUGAGAAGUGCAAAACAAAACACAUGGAAGGAAACUUGCCAUCUCUUCACAAAAAAGAAGACACUUCCCAUCAUCACGUGUGUUGUACAGACAUACAAUAAGUUCUCGAAUAUAACUAUGCUAUUAGAAAAUCAAUCAACGUGAUGCUAAAAAAUCUUCUUACCUACAAGGAAAUAUAUUACAAAGCCUAGCCCCCUUGUACAUAGCACACGUACAUGAACGAGCAGAAUUUGCCCAACAUUCAAACAGCCAUCCAACAAAAAUGGGUGUACUUCAUGGUCAUAGUAAUACCUUGCUUUCAACGAAAAAUUUAAUUUCCCUAUUUGUAUGACAACAAUACAAAUCAGUAAAAAUAAAAGAAUGUCUAUCAACCUAUUUUAGAUGUCGGGACAAAUUAUUAGUAAAAACUAAAACACGCCAUACAUAUACACUGAAGUUUUCUCUAGAGCAUAAUUUACAAUGGAUUUUCAAAAUAAUUACAUUGCUUCCAUAGAUGAAUAAUUAUACACAGAAAUAUUCUCUAGAUGAAUGGCUUAUGUAGAUGAAUCAAUGGGCAAUGGAAAAUGUAUCCCUUAAGUGUAAUGGUUGGUGGUGUCCAGAUUAUUAUUAUUUUCUUCCUAGAAAACUAUUAGCAAAAGCACAAAUACGAAUACACUCGCUAAUGUCCACACCCUCUAAUAUUUUCUGAAGAUUGAUUUUACUUAGCUGAAUUUUGAGUACAAAUUUCCAAUGGUUUACUCUGUAGAAUGUUUUCACAGUUAUAGCUAACUUGGUCUAAGAAUAUGAAAUUGUCUACACUAGCUGACUUAGUUAUUUCUCCUCUGCUUUAGCUUUUAAAUAUGAUAUUUUAAAAGCAAUCUCUGAAUUUACUAUAUCUGACUAGCUGUACUGCAUCACAAUAUUACCUUCAGUGAAAUAUUACCUUCAACAUUGCCUUGAGUACACGUGCACCACACAAGGCCGGUCCUAAGAUUUGGGGGCCCGGGGCGAAACUAAAACUUAGAGGCCCUUGACAGAAAUAUGAGAAUAUUAGGCUAUGAAGAAAGUACACACUAUGUGUGAUGCAAAGUCAUGUUUAAUGCUUGAAUUACACGUGUAGGAGUAUAUUAUUUCAGGUGUCAAAAGGGACAGAAGACUCCAAAAAUGGUCCAAAAAUAAUUUGCAUCCAAAAUACAUGGUUGCAUUCACAUUUUGAGUCCUUCCAAUGACUAUUGUAAGACUGUUACAGCAAACAUGAGUAUAUGAGGAUUUAGAUAGAUGAGAAAAUCAAUACGAGUGAUGUGGAAAUAUUUUGUCAUAUCUUCUAAACUUACCUUUGUAUCUUUAAAAAUCAAAUUAUAUAGUGCCGAGAUAGUGAAAAGUUACUCCCGCGAAGUUGUAGGGAUGAUUAAAUUAAUAAUUUGUUACCCAAUUGUGCUAUCAUUGCUGAGUUCAUCUAUAAACUCACCACUAUGAGCAGCAUCCAAACCUCGUUCUUGCUUGAGAU